rnacentral:lncRNA from 1 species
UCGCCAUUCUAGUGCCUGAUCCACCUCCACCUGGAGCUCCACCUCACUCUGGGUUCCUCCUGGCUCUUGAAGCUCCAUCUCACAUUGGGCUUCUUGUCAAGUAGUAAUAUCCUCUCAUCCUUUUCUUUCUCUUUAGAAUAACCCUAUCACCGCACAACACCUUCAGGAUUCCUCCAUCAACUAUCAUCCUAUAGCCUCUUGAAUCC